rnacentral:ribozyme from 1 species
AAGUCACAUACACUCUUUCUUUCUUUUCUUUCUUUUCUCUCUUUCUUUCUUUCUCUCUUUCUUUCUCUC